rnacentral:rRNA from 1 species
GCUUCCCAUACGGGUUGAAGCAUGACCGUAAGGACAUGUGGACAGUAUGGGAGUGAGAAUGUUGGCAUGAGUAGCGAGAUGUGGGUGGGAAUCCCACAGGCCGUAAACCCCAGGUUUCCAGGGGAAGGUUCGUCCGCCCUGGGUUAGUCGGGACCUAAGCUGAGGCCGAAAGGCGUAGGUGAUGGACAACAGGUUGAUAUUCCUGUACUACCGAU